AUAUAUAUAUAUAUCUUUAUAUAUCUUUUAUAUUAUAUGUGAUAACGAUGAGGGAAGAAAGGUCCUACAUGAGGAUAAAGAGCCUUGUUUUGUAGCCAAGGAUGACUUGCCUGCAGCCUCCCAAGGGCUCUCUCUCUCUCUCUAAAUAUAAUGUGGCGCUAUAGCUAAGCUUGGUUUAGAAUCCUUGUGUGAUCUACAGGCAGUCUCCUUGGCUACCGAGACAGGUUCUUUUAUCUCAUGCUGGACCUCUUCUUCCAUGGGGCAACAGAUUUCCACCGGGAUGUAUGAGCUUCUUGAGGAACUCAUAGAUGAGUCAAGUUCGAAAUGGUCAUACUGUUAAUCCAAGUCACGAUAGUCAUGUGUUUGUUUCUGAUGGACUGAAACACUUAGUCUGAAAGAUGACUGCACUCUCACUGCAAGGGGGCGAGCUCAGUUAGGAAGCCUACAAUAUGAGGAGCUUUUAUAAUGAGUAGCUAUGUUGAGGAAUUAAAAUGACGGGGUCGAAUCCAGCAGUACAAUAAUGACUCUACACUUAAUCGGAUGGCUAUUAAGGACCCCCUGUACAAUAUGUGACCAUAUAUACUAGGCUCUACUAGCACCUACUAAAGGCAUUCACAAUCGUCCCCUUUUUUUUUUGUCGGGUCCAUGGGGCUAAUUACGCUUGUCAUGAAAACAUAAAACUCUUCAAUUAAGCAAAUAAUGUGACUUGAAAACAUAAAACUCUUCAGUUGCGCAAAUAAUGCGACUUGGCCCAAUUAGCGCAACUGCAAAUUCUCUAACUUAAAAUGUAUUCUAAAUGUGGGAUAUAGCUAAGAUGGUUGAGUUCUUUCACCUCUACUUAUGUGGACAGAAGUUCGAAACUUCCAGACAUCCAAUGAAUAUUUGUGUAAACUUCUUCUCCUAAUCACUUGUACUUAAAAAUAAUAUUCUGACUUCAACUCUUGUAAGAAAUAAAAAAUCGCAGUAUCAAACUGCGCCGUUUAGUGACGAUUUAUAAAAGAAUUCCCAAUUUGUUUUA